AAAUUGAAGAGUUUGAUCAUGGCUCAGAUUGAACGCUGGCGGCAGGCCUAACACAUGCAAGUCGAACGGUAACAGGAAGCAGCUUGCUGCUUCGCUGACGAGUGGCGGACGGGUGAGUAAUGUCUGGGAAACUGCCUGAUGGAGGGGGAUAACUACUGGAAACGGUGGCUAAUACCGCAUAACGUCGCAAGACCAAAGAGGGGGGCCUUCGGGCCUCUUGCCAUCAGAUGUGCCCAGAUGGGAUUAGCUUGUUGGUGAGGUAACGGCUCACCAAGGCGACGAUCCCUAGCUGGUCUGAGAGGAUGACCAGCCACACUGGAACUGAGACACGGUCCAGACUCCUACGGGAGGCAGCAGUGGGGAAUAUUGCACAAUGGGCGCAAGCCUGAUGCAGCCAUGCCGCGUGUAUGAAGAAGGCCUUCGGGUUGUAAAGUACUUUCAGCGGGGAGGAAGGUGUUG
rnacentral:rRNA from 2 species